CUUCUCUGUAGAAAGACACAGAGAAAAGAUAAAGAUGUGAGCGGAGCUGACAGGCUGCUAGAGCCACGGUCUCCUUUGCUGUUUGCAUCCUGAGCCGGUUUCUGAUUUGAUCCUGAGAGGAUGAUUGUGAUGGGGGCUUUUUUAUUACGCGGACAACAGAUGGCAAGGGAUGAUGCUGAUCUAUAUGUCCGAGAUGGCAGCUGUUAACCUUCCAGGUUUCAAUUAGAAACAGGUGGUGGCCCCAAACACGUGCUCUCGGCUCGGAGGAAACACCAACACAGUGUAAUAGCUGACAUGUUUCUAAUAAUGCACUAAACAUUCCCUGAUGUGGUGAUUUAAUGUGUUUUGUAUACAGUACUGUAUAUUUCAUUUACUACCAUGUUGCGAAUGAGUAAAAAUCUAGCAGUCCUACUGUGUGCAGCAGUUGCAAAAGCUUCAUUUGUUCCUUCGGAGUUGCUGUCUCCUCUGCUUUACUUUACCAAGCAAGUAUUUUGACAUUGAAUAUAUGGUUGUUGAAAAAAGCUCAUAGUUAUACAAGAAUGUGCUCAUAUGUUGACAUUUGUGUAAAUAUAGCAACAGAAUAAAAACUGCAGCAACAUUUGCUGUCAUCCA